AAUUACGAAUUUCAGCUAUUUUUAGAUUGUAUUUCUAUUUUGACUCUUUUUUUCUUUUUCUCCGAUUCAUGUAGGAAUUUUUAGCCUCUACAGUGAACGUGGUGUCUUUUUUUAAGGUUGUUUUAAUAAUAGAUAGAUAGAUAUGUAGAUAUGACAUUGUUUACAUGUAUCGAAAAUAGUUAAAAUUCGCCGCCCUCCAUCUCGCCGCCGCCACCUCCCUCCGCCCGCCGCCCCUCCUCCCAUCACAUCGGUUUGCGCCGCCGCAUCCGCACCGCCCAGCCCCGCCACCACCGAGGACGCGGAACCCGCACCUCCCUCCCACGCCUCCCCCUCCAGACCCGAAGCAGCGGCAGCUCGCGGCGUCAACCUUCAUGCUUGACGACACCCCCCACCCCUCCGAAGCGGCGGCGGCCGCCGGUAGCUGCCGACUGGUCCGCCUCCGUGGUGGCCGAUGCGCCCCGGUCGUUCUUGCCGUGCUCGCUCCGCGACAGUCUGGUGAUACGCCCGAUUCUGUUCUCUCGAGCCCGUCGUUCCACCUCGACGCUCCCGAUUCCGCGACCCCUGGCUCGGAUGUCCCGUCCUCCGUCGGGCUUGACGAUAUUGUUCCUGAGACCUGAGACCGCGGGCUUCACCGCCCCACGCUUGGCUGGUCUCUCGGCUGUGCCUGGCUUGACGUCUCCUACGACCGCGAGGAAAUUUUCUGAUUGGAACAAGCUAAUCUUCUGCUCAAGAAAACACCAUUGUUGGAGAUGAUGACAAUUGUCCUCCACUGCUCCUGACCAUUCAAACAGGCAUGCACUUUCUUUUGCCGAUGGGUACAUAUUAUUGUGUUAUGCAUUUUAGCUACUUGAAUAAAAUAUCCUGUGAUUUUACAGGCAUGUGCUUUUGAAUUACCCUGUCUUUCCUGUAAUUAAUUUAAGUAGUACGCUAACUGAUUUGCACGAUCACAUGAAUGGCAGACUGUCAGAGUUCAUCGCUUCAAUAUUGUUUGGUGAUGUGAGAGCUAAGAUUAUUGUUUCCUUACUAGCAUAUAAAUUUAUUCCUGUAUAAGAAAUUAAGAAUAGCUGGUAUUUCAAACAUAUGGUCAUUUUGCUUGUCAUUCCCGCUUUUCUAUCUCCCAUUUUCCAUAAAUGCAUGACCCAAUGUUCCAAAGUACAGUUGCUAACAGAGCAUCAUUGCUUGCUUCCAGAACCAAUCUAGCCGACGGUUCUUACCAACCCAGUGCAGACUAACGCUGCCCUCGAUUUCUUUGAAGAUCUUUGAAAUUGAUGUUUUUUCUGGACUAUUGCCAUUGCAGAGGAAUUCAAAUGCAGCACCACUGAUCUGUACUCAUUUCUCUUUACAUAUGUUUUCACCAUUAAGAGGACCUGCUUCAAGAGAGAUGACCUCUGCUUUUGAGUUCUACGGUGCUUCCAAUUAAUAGUGAUUACCAAGCAACAAGCAAGAUAAAACAACUGCAUUUAUCUGUUACUUAUGGAAUUUAUCUGUUUAGAAAGCAAAUAGCAUUAUUGAUCAUCACUGAUCUGAUAUAUCAAUUUGUGGUGUACCAUAAGCUAGCAUGAUUUGCUUCAAAAGUUUAGCAAAACAAGUUAAGCUUGGAAGCCACUCAUUAACAAAAGAAGCUGAUUGUUUCUAUUUAGCAGGUUGACAGGAACAUGCUCCAUUUCAUGGUUUUGCUAAAUGAAGUGCGGUUGUCAUGAGAAAUCAGUGCAGAAUGGCAAGGUAGAUGCAAUUAUUCGAUCAGUGCAGAGAAAAUGGAGGCAAUGCUAGGGCAUAAUUUCUUCUAACUGUUUUUCCAUUCUUUCCCCUUUCGAUUGUACACUCAUGGUUGACACAUAUAUGUACAGUUCAGAUUUAUAAGUUGCAGCUAUGCCUUCAAUGGAUGAAAGUGGGCAUAUAUGUAUUUUUUUAGUUGGUUUUAAAGUGAGUGAUUUAUUUUCU